AUUGAACGCUGGCGGCAGGCUUAACACAUGCAAGUCGAGCGGAGAUGAGGUGCUUGCACCUUAUCUUAGCGGCGGACGGGUGAGUAAUGCUUAGGAAUCUGCCUAUUAGUGGGGGACAACAUUCCGAAAGGAAUGCUAAUACCGCAUACGUCCUACGGGAGAAAGCAGGGGAUCUUCGGACCUUGCGCUAAUAGAUGAGCCUAAGUCGGAUUGGCUAGUUGGUGGGGUAAAGGCCUACCAAGGCGACGAUCUGUAGCGGGUCUGAGAGGAUGAUCCGCCACACGGGGACUGAGACACGGCCCAGACUCCUACGGGAGGCAGCAGUGGGGAAUAUUGGACAAUGGGGGGAACCCUGAUCCAGCCAUGCCGCGUGUGUGAAGAAGGCCUUAUGGUUGUAAAGCACUUUAAGCGAGGAGGAGGCUACUGAGACUAAUACUCUUGGAUAGUGGACGUUACUCGCAGAAUAAGCACCGGCUAACUCUGUGCCAGCAGCCGCCGUAAAAA
rnacentral:rRNA from 1 species